rnacentral:misc_RNA from 1 species
AGCAGCCGCGGUAAUUCCAGCUCCAAUAGCGUAUAUUAAAGUUGUUGCAGUUAAAAAGCUCGUAGUUGAAUUUCGGGAUUGGCGCAUCGGUCGUGCCUCACGGGGUAUGAACUGGUGCAGUCAAUUUCUCACCUUCUGGAGAACCGCGAUGUCCUUAAUUGGAUGCCGCGGGGAACCAGGACCUUUACUUUGAAAAAAUUAGAGUGUUUAAAGCAGGCAUUUUUGCUUGAAUACAUUAGCAUGGAAUAAUAAAAUAGGACGGCAUGGUUCUAUUUUGUUGGUUUCUAGGACCACCGUAAUGAUUAAUAGGGAUAGUUGGGGGCAUUAGUAUUCAAUUGUCAGAGGUGAAAUUCUUGGAUUUAUUGAAGACUAACUACUGCGAAAGCAUUUGCCAAGGAUGUUUUCAUUAAUCAAGAACGAAAGUUAGGGGAUCGAAGACGAUCAGAUACCGUCGUAGUCUUAACCAUAAACUAUGCCGACUAGGAAUCAGACGAUGUUAAUUUUUUUAAUGACUCGU